GAGGUCCCGCCUGCCCUGUGACUAUAAGUUUAACGGCCGCGGUAUUUUAACCGUGCGAAGGUAGCGUAAUCACUUGUCUUUUAAAUGAAGACCUGUAUGAAUGGCAUCACGAGGGCUUAGCUGUCUCCCCCCUCCAGUCAAUGAAAUUGAUCUCCCCGUGCAGAAGCGGGGAUAAUUACAUAAGACGAGAAGACCCUGUGGAGCUUUAGACCUAAAAUAAUUCACGUUUUAACACUCUGUCACACCAGUAAAAACUUAGUGCUACUUAUUGAGGUGUCUUUGGUUGGGGCGACCGCGGGGAAAAACACAACCCCCAUGUGGACCGGGGAUACUAUCCCUAAUACUCAGAGCCUUCUACUCCAAGUAACAGAAAUUCUGACUUUUCUGAUCCGGUAUACUAACCGAUCAACGAACCGAGUUACCCCAGGGAUAACAGCGCAAUCCCCUCCCAGAGCCCAUAUCGACGAGGGGGUUUACGACCUCGAUGUUGGAUCAGGACAUCCUAAUGGUGCAGCCGCUAUUAAGGGUUCGUUUGUUCAACGAUUAAAGUCCUACGUGA
rnacentral:rRNA from 1 species